rnacentral:rRNA from 1 species
AACGUAGGUUCCGAGCGUUAUCCGGAUUUACUGGGCGUAAAGCGCGUUCAGGCGGUUUGGCAAGUCGGGCAUGAAAUCCUUCGGCUCAACCGGGGGAGGUUGUCCGAUACUGCUAAACUGGAGGGCAGUAGAGGGUGGUGGAAUUCCGGGUGUAGUGGUGAAAUGCGUAUAGAUCCGGAGGAACACCAGUGGCGAAAGCGGCCACCUGGACUGUACCUGACGCUGAAACGCGAAAGCUAGGGGAGCGAACGGG